CGACUCUCGGCAACGGAUAUCUCGGCUUUCGCAUCGAUGAAGAACGUAGCGAAAUGCGAUACUUGGUGUGAAUUGCAGAAUCCCGUGAACCAUCGAGUUUUUGAACGCAAGUUGCGCCCAAAGCCAUUAGGCUAAGGGCACGUCUGCCUGGGCGUCAC
rnacentral:rRNA from 1 species